rnacentral:rRNA from 1 species
AUUGAACGCUGGCGGCAGGCCUAACACAUGCAAGUCGAACGAGUGGCGGACGGGGGAGUGAUGUCUGGGAAACUGCGCGAGGUAGGGGGGUAACACCUGGAGACGGGAGCUAAUACCGCAUACCAUCGGAGGUGCCCAGAUGGGAUUAGCUAGUAGGUGAGGUAACGGCUCACCUAGGCGCCGAUCCCUAGCUGGUCUGAGAGGAUGACCAGCCACACUGGGACUGAGACACGGUCCAGACUCCUACGGGAGGCAGCAGUGGGGAAUAUUGCACAAUGGGCGCAAGCCUGAUGCAGCCAUGCCGCGUGUAUGAAGAAGGCCUUCGGGUUGUAAAGUACUUUCAGCGGGGAGGCGUUACCCGCAGAAGAAGCACCGGCUAACUCCGUGCCAGCAGCCGCGGUAAUAC